AACGAACGCUGGCGGCAUGCCUAACACAUGCAAGUCGAACGAGACCUUCGGGUCUAGUGGCGCACGGGUGUGUAACGCGUGGGAACCUGCCUUUAGGUUCGGAAUAACUCAGAGAAAUUUGAGCUAAUACCGGAUGAUGUCUUCGGACCAAAGAUUUAUCGCCUUUAGAUGGGCCCGCGUUGGAUUAGCUAGUUGGUGGGGUAAAGGCCUACCAAGGCGACGAUCCAUAGCUGGUCUGAGAGGAUGAUCAGCCACACUGGGACUGAGACACGGCCCAGACUCCUACGGGAGGCAGCAGUGGGGAAUAUUGGACAAUGGGCGAAAGCCUGAUCCAGCAAUGCCGCGUGAGUGAUGAAGGCCUUAGGGUUGUAAAGCUCUUUUACCCGAGAUGAUAAUGACAGUAUCGGGAGAAUAAGCUCCGGCUAACUCCGUG
rnacentral:rRNA from 1 species